GACGAACGCUGGCGGCGUGCCUAAUACAUGCAAGUAGAACGCUGAAGAGAGGAGCUUGCUCUUCUUGGAUGAGUUGCGAACGGGUGAGUAACGCGUAGGUAACCUGCCUUGUAGCGGGGGAUAACUAUUGGAAACGAUAGCUAGUACCGCAUAACAAUGGAUGACACAUGUCAUUUAUUUGAAAGGGGCAAUUGCUCCACUACAAGAUGGACCUGCGCUGUAUUAGCUAGUAGGUGAGGUAAUGGCUCACCUAGGCGACGAUACAUAGCCGACCUGAGAGGGUGAUCGGCCACACUGGGACUGAGACACGGCCCAGACUCCUACGGGAGGCAGCAGUAGGGAAUCUUCGGCAAUGGGGGCAACCCUGACCGAGCAACGCCGCGUGAGUGAAGAAGGUUUUCGGAUCGUAAAGCUCUGUUGUAAGUCAAGAACGGGUGUGAGAGUGGAAAGUUCACACUGUGACGGUAGCUUACCAGAAAGGGACGGCUAACUACGUG
rnacentral:rRNA from 1 species